AGAUGUUCGGUUAGUGGGUUGAUAAGUGUAUUUGAAUCAAGAAAAUGAAAUUGGCAAUCAUCAUUCUCGGCUUCUUAGCCGUAGCUGCUUCAGCUGGACGAGUUUCUUUAAAUCGCGAUGUCAGUUCUUUGGUAACUUAUUCAAAACUUCGUGGUCUUCAAAGAGGCGCACUUGAAGACAAAAUU